CGGCCGCGUCGACGUUUGAUCAUGGCUCAGAUUGAACGCUGGCGGCAGGCCUAAUACAUGCAAGUCGAACGGUAACAUAAGAUAGCUUGCUAUCUUGAUGACGAGUGGCGGACGGGUGAGUAAGGUCUGGGAAGCUACCUAGUAGAGGGGACAACAGAUGGAAACGUCUGCUAAAUACCGCAUACGCCCUGAGGGGAAAGUAGAGAUACGCUAUUAGAUGCGCCCAGAUGGGAUU
rnacentral:rRNA from 1 species